rnacentral:rRNA from 1 species
UACGAAGGGGGCUAGCGUUGCUCGGAAUCACUGGGCGUAAAGGGUGCGUAGGCGGGUCUUUAAGUCAGGGGGGAAAUCCUGGAGCUCAACUCCAGAACUGCCUUUGAUACUGAAGAUCUUGAGUUCGGGAGGGGUGAGUGGAACUGCGAGUGUAGAGGUGAAAUUCGUAGAUAUUCGCAAGAACACCAGUGGCGAAGGCGGCUCACUGGCCCGAUACUGACGCUGAUGCACGAAAGCGUGGGGAGCAAACAGG